rnacentral:rRNA from 1 species
AACGCGAAGAACCUUACCUGGCCUUGACAUCCAGAGAACUUAGCAGAGAUGCUUUGGUGCCCUCGGGAACUCUGAGACAGGUGCUGCAUGGCUGUCGUCAGCUCGUGUUGUGAAAUGUUGGGUUAAGUCCCGCAACGAGCGCAACCCUUAUCCUUUGUUGCCAGCGGUUCGGCCGGGAACUCAAAGGAGACUGCCGGUGAUAAACCGGAGGAAGGCGGGGAUGACGUCAAGUCAUCAUGGCCCUUACGGCCAGGGCUACACACGUGCUACAAUGGCGCAUACAAAGAGAAGCGACCUCGCGAGAGCAAGCGGACCUCAUAAAGUGCGUCGUAGUCCGGAUUGGAGUCUGCAACUCGACUCCAUGAAGUCGGAAUCGCUAGUAAUCGUAGAUCAGAAUGCUACGGUGAAUACGUUCCC